rnacentral:lncRNA from 1 species
UUUUUUAAUCUUUCUAGAAGAAUUUACAAAAGAAGGGCUAUGGAAUUUGUCUCCAAAGACAAACUGACAAUGAUUUAAUGGGACUUGAACUGUUCUCUCUGUCUCUUUAUCUCUUGUUUUGUUUUCUAAUUUCUUCUUUAUAAACAAAUGCUACAACCAGGAAAGGUAAUCUGUAUGGAACAGGAGCACACUCUUCACAUUCCUCCAAGGAACUUGGUCUCCCCAUGGCUGUAUCAUAUAUAAAACCAGUAAUGGGUUUGGAGCCAACUAUGUUUAUCUUGGAACUCAUUUUUCCGAGAAUCUGGAUGUUCCAGGGUAUCUAAAGAGGCCAGGGGUCAGAGAUACAAUCUGUGCCCACAGUAUCAUGGGCCUUGGUGGAAUGAGCUUUGUUGAAUCUCCCCCUAAGCUGUCAACAAGAUGUGAAGUAGCAUAGCAAGAGCUUCCAUGGGGCUUUAGCACAGAUGAAGAGAAACAGAAAAGGAUCCUUAAAAAAACUGCUCUCCUGUUUCCCCAUUUCACUUUCCUUUCUGCCUCACUUCCAUUUCCACUUCCACUCACCAAUUAAAAUAAGAAAGGUCGUGGUGUCAUCAUUUGUAUUUGGUUGAACUUCAUUUUUGUUCAUGUGUGAGCUAUUCCAAGUGUGUCUAUUUUUACGUGUAACUUGAAUUUUCCCAGGCUCCACCCACCCAGAAGGACAAAUUGAGCCACUGAUUCCUUGCUCUGACUUGCUGGAAUAGAUCCUCCACACUUCCACUCCAGUCAAAACCUCACCACCACCCCCCAAGUCCUUCAAGAUGUUCCAGAUGCUCUGAAAAAAGUCUGCUCUUGUUCUUUCAUCUGGCCUUCCCAUUGUGGCCUUACCAAUUCCAAAUUCCAAUUCCAAAGCAAUUGGAAAGGGGUGCCAUCCCAACCAACAUGGCUGCUGGCAACCCCUAUGGGAAUGCUACUUCCUUGACUAGGGGACAGUUGGGGCUUCUUUGCCAACUGCGUAUCUUCAAGGCGCAGGCUUCCUGGUGUUUCCAGAGAAAAGAAAUACAAGUUGUCAGUGUUAAGGCCAGAGGCUGGAAAUGAAAAGAGGUGCAGAGCCUUUUCUGUUUGUCAAAGCAGCAAUAAACAACCUCCUAACUUAUCUCCUCA